GUCAGAUUUAAGCAGUGCGUUAAGGAAAAAGCCCACGCCUACAUUAUAAUAUAGGACUGAACUUGUGACAGCCCGUUAUUUACAGCCGGUCCGUCUGUUUACGACUUUGGAUUCACUGGUCGUCAGUAGCAACCGCCGUAGCAACAAAAGGCAGGAGAAGAUCCUCAGAAAUUAAUCCGCUGAUGAGCCGUCAGGCGCGGCGCGGAAAACUCACAGCAGCCGACCUCUGACGGCAGCAGGAUGAAGACUGAGAAGAUGAUCGAGUAACACUACGAGAAGAUCAGAAGAAAAUAGAGAUGAAGUCGGCAUGUACUGUGGCUCUUCUUCCAGGCCACAGUGUGGAAGAGGGUGGAGAUGAUGAAGAGCGAGCUGAGCCCCGCCCCAUACACCCAGGCUGACAGCC